rnacentral:rRNA from 1 species
GUAGGGUGCAAGCGUUAAUCGGAAUUACUGGGCGUAAAGCGUGCGCAGGCGGUUUUGUAAGUCUGUCGUGAAAGCCCCGGGCUCAACCUGGGAAUUGCGAUGGAGACUGCAAGGCUUGAAUCUGGCAGAGGGGGGUAGAAUUCCACGUGUAGCAGUGAAAUGCGUAGAGAUGUGGAGGAACACCGAUGGCGAAGGCAGCCCCCUGGGUCAAGAUUGACGCUCAUGCACGAAAGCGUGGGGGGAGCAAACAGGAUUAGAUACCCUGGUAGUCCACGCCCCUAAACGAUGUCUACUAGUUGUCGGGUUUUAAUUAACCUUGGUAACGCAGCUAACGCGUGAAGUAGACCGCCUGGGGAUACGGUCGCAAGAUUA